GUGCUAAAAAGAGUGGGAAUGAGCCACAGGAUAAUGUCUCAGCGACCUAACUACCUGACUUAGCGAUGGCAGCAUUUUGAAAGCCCAGCAAACAUACUAGGGAAGCCUGUUUCCAGGGGCUCGUUUCUGUGAAGUUAACACAUUCUACUUCAAGAAGCAAGGAACAGCCACAGCCAGCUACAGAAUCGUCACCGUUUUGUCCUUGGUUUUAAUUUUUGCAGCACUGAGUGGUGGAUGUGAAGCCAGCUACCCCCAGACAGGAGGAGUGAGUUCUGGUGUUCUGUCAUACAGAAAGGUGAGUGCAGGUAGUGAUAAUAUGCUCCAUGGUCUUAAACCGUCCAGAAGAGAGGGUUUUGAAUGUUUUCACUGUGAGGGAAUGUUCAAUGUUGGAGGAAACAUGUAUGUUUACCCUGAUCCAAACCUGCAUGGCAUAUACGUGUGUUAAGACAUCAUAUGGUACCCUAUAAUUAUGCACAAUUUUUAGGUAUCAGGCAAAAGUUCUUAAAAAAUGAGGAACGAAAGUUAACUGAAGCAGUGGAAAUCCAAAAUGAGGUAUAAAAUCAAGCCCUCCUCAAAUUCCCCAUAAUGGUAUUUCCUUGGGUUGUCUUCCCACUUAAGUUAGUGGAUUUCUUGAUCAUUUAGGUGACUGCUUUAUGUGAGACCAGGCUCUUCCUGGAUAUUUGAAGACCCAGAAUUUGAUGUGCAAAGAAAGUUGGUGACUUAACCCAAUGAGAGUCUUGCACGUUUCAGACACUAGGAGUCCGAGUUUUGAGUGGGGCGCUCCAUGUGCAGGGCUGUGCUAGGCUGGGCAGAAGACAGACAUGCUGGGGAGAGGAGAGUUAUGUUCCUGUGGCAAUGUGAGUUAAGAAGCAUGUUGGGCACCACUGCACUAAAGGAGACCCUGUGAACAAAUGCCAGCUCCUUAAAUCUCCUUGCACUUUCAUGCAUAAGACGAUGUCAGUGAUAAAUGACGUGGAAACUAAAACCCGGUGAAGUACUUCAGACAGUCUCUCUAGAAGUAAGCUGGUCACGUAGAGACCUAGGAGUCAACCUUUUCAAUCUGCAGGGAGCAGCCAAGAUCAUGACCUACAACCAAGGCAGGAGGGAAGGCUUAACUUGAAUAAAAGGAAAAGUGCUGCCA
rnacentral:lncRNA from 1 species